rnacentral:rRNA from 1 species
GAUGAGCUGUAGAGUGUGAUCCUGGCUCAGUAUACCUCGAUUGCUGGUAUGCAUAAAUGGCGAACGGGUGAGUAAUACGUGAGUAACCUGCCCUUGACUCUGGGAUAAGCCUGGGAAACCGGGUCUAAUACUGGAUACGACGUCCCAUCGCAUGGUGGGGUGUGGAAAGGGUUUUACUGGUUUUGGAUGGGCUCACGGCCUAUCAGCUUGUUGGUGGGGUAAUGGCCUACCAAGGCGACGACGGGUAGCCGGCCUGAGAGGGUGACCGGCCACACUGGGACUGAGACACGGCCCAGACUCCUACGGGAGGCAGCAGUGGGGAAUAUUGCACAAUGGGCGCAAGCCUGAUGCAGCGACGCCGCGUGAGGGAUGACGGCCUUCGGGUUGUAAACCUCUUUCAGCAGGGAAGAAGCCACAAGUGACGGUACCUGCAGAAGAAGCGCCGGCUAACUACGUGCCAGCAGCCGCGGUAAUACGUAGGGCGCAAGCGUUGUCCGGAAUUAUUGGGCGUAAAGAGCUCGUAGGCGGUUUGUCGCGUCUGCUGUGAAAGCCCGGGGCUCAACCCCCGGGUCUGCAGUGGGUACGGGCAGACUAGAGUGCAGUAGGGGAGACUGGAAUUCCCUGGUGUAGCGGUGAAAUGCGCAGAUAUCAGGAGGAACACCGAUGGCGAAGGCAGGUCUCUGGGCUGUUACUGACGCUGAGGAGCGAAAGCAUGGGGAGCGAACAGGAUUAGAUACCCUGGUAGUCCAUGCCGUAAACGUUGGGCACUAGGUGUGGGGGACAUUCCACGUUCUCCGCGCCGUAGCUAACGCAUUAAGUGCCCCGCCUGGGGAGUACGGCCGCAAGGCUAAAACUCAAAGGAAUUGACGGGGGCCCGCACAAGCGGCGGAGCAUGCGGAUUAAUUCGAUGCAACGCGAAGAACCUUACCAAGGCUUGACAUCCACCGGACCGCACUGGAGACAGUGCUUCCCUUUUAGGGCUGGUGGACAGGUGGUGCAUGGUUGUCGUCAGCUCGUGUCGUGAGAUGUUGGGUUAAGUCCCGCAACGAGCGCAACCCUCGUUCUAUGUUGCCAGCACGUGAUGGUGGGGACUCAUAGGAGACUGCCGGGGUCAACUCGGAGGAAGGUGGGGAUGACGUCAAAUCAUCAUGCCCCUUAUGUCUUGGGCUUCACGCAUGCUACAAUGGCCGGUACAAAGGGUUGCGAUACUGUGAGGUGGAGCUAAUCCCAAAAAGCCGGUCUCAGUUCGGAUUGAGGUCUGCAACUCGACCUCAUGAAGUCGGAGUCGCUAGUAAUCGCAGAUCAGCAACGCUGCGGUGAAUACGUUCCCGAGCUUGGUACACACCCCCCGUAAAGUGUGGCAAGGUGGCAGCAUAGGUUGUUCCUGCUCUCCGUAAGUCGUAACAAGGUAGCCGUAGAGUU